AUGCCUAUAGUAUCCGAUAAUGACGCAUUCGAGGAUGACGAGGAAGCUAGCAUGACGUCUUUUAUACCUGGCGAGGUUGAUCCAUUUGACUGUGUGUACACAAACAUACCAGACAACACCCACAUCCUGAAGCUCGACGCAAACUGCAAACACUGCAAGGCCAGAAAGUUUGUUUCUGAGACUGACGGAUUCUGCUGUCGCAAUGGACAGAUUGAGCUUAAACAACCGGAACCAAUCCCAGAGCUUAUGAGGCUAUGGUCCAGCAUGGAUGCAGAUUCCAGA
rnacentral:rRNA from 1 species